rnacentral:rRNA from 1 species
UACGGAGGAUCCGAGCGUUAUCCGGAUUUAUUGGGUUUAAAGGGUGCGCAGGCGGGAGAUUAAGUCGGCGGUGAAGUUUUGCAGCUCAACUGUAAAAGUGCCUUCGAAACUGGUUUCCUUGAGUGUAGAUGAAGUAGGCGGAAUUUGUGGUGUAGCGGUGAAAUGCUUAGAUAUCACGAGGAACUCCGAUUGCGCAGGCAGCUUACUAAACUACUACUGACGCUCAGGCACGAAGGCGUGGGGAUCAAACAGGAUUAGAUACCCCCGUAGUCCCU